UGCAGGCUGAGAUGCUAAACCUGCUCACCUAUGUUGGCUUUGUGUUCUUUCUACCACAGAUGCAGAUACUGGGAGAGCCAGGUCCUGCUGUCAACCAAAAUAAAGAUUAUGGUUAAUGAAGCUGGCUCUCUGGGGCUACUUCCUCCCAUGACAUACCUCUGCAUGCAUGAUCUCAGUUUGUGUUGUCCCAUCAAAGACCAUUACCACGUGAGUAGUGAUAACUUGAAAUAUGGCUGGUCUGAGUUGAAAUGUGUUAUAAGUGUA
rnacentral:lncRNA from 1 species